rnacentral:rRNA from 1 species
AUUGACCGCUGGCGGCAGGCCUAACACAUGCACGUCGCGCGAGCGGCGGACGGGUGAGUAAUGUAUGGGGACUGCCCGAUAGAGGGGGAUAACUCCUGGAAACGGUAGCUAAUACCGCAUACUAUCGGAUAACCCAUAUGGGAUUGGCUAGUAGGUGAGGUAAUGGCUCACCUAGGCGACGCUCCCUUGCUGGUCUGUGAGGAUGAUCAGCCACACGGGGACUGCAACACGGCCCCAACUCCUACGGAGGCAGCAGUUGGGAAUAUUGCAAAAGGGGCGCAAGCCUGAGGCGGCCAUGCCGCGUGUAUGAAGAGGGCCCUAGGGUGGUAAAGGACGUUCAGUCGGGAGGCGUUACCGACAGAAGAAGCACCGGCUAACUCCGUGCCAGCAGCCGCGGUAAUAC